GACAGAGGAUGCAAGCGUUAUCCGGAAUGAUUGGGCGUAAAGCGUCUGUAGGUGGCUUUUUAAGUCCGCCGUCAAAUCCCAGGGCUCACCCUGGACAGGCGGCGGAAACUACCAAGCUGGAGUACGGUAGGGGCAGAGGGAAUUCUCGGUGUAGAGGUGAAAUGCGCAGAUAUCAGGAGGAACACCGGUGGCGAAGGCGGGUCUCUGGGCCGAUACUGACGCUGAGGAGCGAAAGCGUGGGGAGCGAACAGG
rnacentral:rRNA from 1 species